CAUUUGAUUUGAAUUUUAUUGGAUCAGUAUAAAGGCAACAAUACUCUACAAUGAGCACAUCCGCUCAGUUUUCAGUGUGGGAACUUUUUUUUUUUAUAGCAGUUGUGACAGAAAUGUUCAUAGACUUUGAAUAUAAGCAAAAUAGUAUAAAUGAGUUUCAGAAUAUCUCAUUUAAGUACCUUAGGACUUUUAAAAAAGAAAGCCAAUGCACUUGAAUUAUGGUUGAUUUAACAAUUUCCACAUAACUUUCAUGUGCUUUGUUUCAUCAAAAACAUAAAUAUGUUUUAGUUAAAUAACGUUGCCUAUUAUGUUCAUAUUGAGGUUUAUUUAGAUGAUGUACAAUAAUAUAAGAAUGCUUCGUAUUUAUUUUUUUGUAUGAACAUUUGUGAGAGACAGUUUCUUUUUCCCAUUUAGAAAAAAAAUAUUCUGAAAACCAGUUACUUUAUCACAUAAAAUAUGAGAAUUUUAUUUUCCCUCUAAUAAGUUUUAUUAUAAUAAUUAGUGUAAUAAUUGUCAAUAGACAACAGGGUGAUUUUAGAACAUGUGUGGUUAUGAGAACUCAUAUAUCCUUCAAUAAAUUAUUUUUAAAACUCAGGUGUUUUGUUCAGUUAUGAAACUUAAAAGAAUCGAACACACAAACACACACACACACAACAACAACAACAACAACAAUUUCCAAAUCUUAGAAUAUAAAUGUGCUAGUUGUUGUAGCCUGGUGGGGGGGGGGGGGAGGAAAUGUGAAUGUAUAGACAGAAUUUAACAUUAGUAUGUAACUGGGUAAUAUAUAUUAAAAAGAGAUUCCUGAUGGAAAACACCUCUUGGAGAACACAAAAUGAAAAUUAGGAAGAACAGAAUAACAGUUUGGCCCUUUGCACAGGUUUGAGCUCAAAUAUGCUUGCUAAGCUAUCUAUUUCACACAUGCAACGACAGAAGGUUCGAUAUUCAUUCGAUCGAUGAGUGAAAAGGCACAAUGGCAAAAUCAGACAGACUUCUUUUCAAAAACAGAUCUCCAAUGUCCCCCCACAGUCUGCAGUUGCUCGGCUGGUGGUGUGGCAUAGACAGAGCAAGGGUUACUUCAAGGCUAUUCUUUGGACCAUCCAAACAGUCUAGACCGAUGACCUGCAGCAUCAUAGCCUUUGAAAAAAGAGACAAGUUCGUUCAUGAUGAAGAAAAAUCAAGCCAACCCCCUUUUAACAAUAAGGAGCAGCUCGGGGCUGCAAAGAGAUACCAAGCUGCUCAGACUGGAAGUGUCUAAUGCAUUCACUGGAUGAGUUUUUGCCUCCUGAAAAGACAACUGUAAUGAAAAAUAAAUGGAAAAAACAGAUGAAGAAUUUGAUCAUAUAAGAACUAAAUAAGUUAUUAUCAGCAAUCAAAUGCAACAUACAAACAAUCACACAGCUUCUCAGAACAAGACAUAAAGACAUAGAGUGCAUGGUAAAGGUUGCUUGCAGUAUCUUGUGGAAACCUCUCCAACCAAGUCCUCUUGGCAAAAUAGUGUGAUUGGAACAACCCUGGUAUUGUGACCAGAAAAACUACUCUGAUUUGCUGCAGACUAAGUAUCAUUGAAUGACUCAUCUGUCUUUCUCUCUGUGUCUCUCUCUCACAUGCACACAUACAUACUCAUUCUUUCUCUCACUCUAGAUUUUUACACAAACAUUAGGUUUAACAUCCCCCUUCCUACUUUAUUAACCUAUUGGUAUAACAUGAGUUAAAUCACACCUAGAUAUUCCCCACCCACCCAAAUAUGUUCCUGACACAAUUAUUUCUGUGAAAUUGUAUGUAUAUGUGUGUGUGUGUGUGUGUGUGCAUAAUUCAGCAGCUACAUUCCAGAAAAAAGACAAGGCUAGGAAAAACAAUUGAAUUAGCAUUAAUUGAAUAAAUACCUGCUUCUUUAAAUAAUUGCCUAUAAAAUAAAGCAACUCAUUUGUAAAAUAAAUUGAUUCCUCAUUUGUAUAAUGAAUGCACUAAAUACAGUUUCUCUCAUACCCAUAUUCUUUUUCCAGGAAAAACAGCAAAGAAACAUGGAAGAUUGAGUUGACUAAAAGAAUUAAGUAUUUGCACAAUGAAAGAAAGAAAAGAUGAAUGGGGAACAAGAUACAGCAGAUAGGAGACUGAACAGAAAAGGGGCAAAUAGCUACAAAACCUAAAUGCAUAGUUAAACAAAGAACAAUGAGCAUAAAUCUAUACUUGCUUCUUUGUACUAAAUCCCACACAAUUUGGUGGUUUUUACUCAGAAGUUUUUUACCUUGUUCAGAUUAACAAUCCUUUAAUAAUCUAUUUCCAUUCAAGAAGGAACAGAAUGGUAGUAACCUAGCUCUUGUUCGUCUUCUACUUACGGAAGUUGCAAAGAGACAGAAGAUGAAGAGAAGCUGUCGCCAAAUCUUCUGCCUCACUGAGAAAUAUAGUCAAAGAAUUUGUGGAGUCUGAAGAAAAAAAAACCUUUUAUAUUUGUGGAAUUUAUGCCACAUUAAGGCUUUAUUCAGCAGAUAUAAGAAACUCCAAACAUUACUUUAAUACAUUUCUCUUUCAGGAAUAGCAGCAAAAAUUCCAACUGUAUUAUGUCAAUGAUCUAUCUAUAUGGUUGUUUAGACUACAGUUUGUCUCUAGCAUCAAAUCAAAUUGAUUGAAACUAGGAUUCAAUUUGCAUAGCCACACUUGAUCCCUUUUGUUUCAAAUAUUUUUAAAUGCUUAAAUUUUCUCUGAAUUAUUCUAUUGUCAUUGCUACACUCUUCUUUCUUUGGUGCUAGUUCAUUGUUAACAAACUGUGUUGAUUGCUUGGUUCUGACAAAUUUGGGAUUCAGAAAUCAUAAAUUAUAUAUAAAUGUAUUGUGUUGCUUAAGAAUAUUGUAUAUUUUUAUAACAAGUUGACAAUUGCUUCAUGUCAAGUAAGAUUAUUUUUUGAGAAAUAAAUGAAAAUAUUUUACACAAAAUUGAAUUCAAAUUAGAAAAUAUGUCAAAUAUUCUAUUCUACAGAUUUAUUUCUUCUAUCCAUUCUAAGGAAACAUGGGGUUUGUUUAUUUAUUUCUGUAAUUGAUAUGCUAGAUAAAAAUGGAAUUGCUUUUACUUAUUAUGCUGUGUAUGUUGCUGACAUACCUUCUCGAAUACACACACACACACACACAUACACAAAAAGUGGCAGAAGAUGAAUUAUUUUGUAUACUGUUAGAACAAAGCCAUAGCUGAUUCCAAGGCUGUUUCCACAAAAUCCUUUGUAUCUAUAUUCUUCUAAAAAAUGCUACAAUUUAUGUUAAAUAUUAUUGUUUCAGCUACCUUACCUAUUCUAGCCAUAACAAUACACCCACGCCCAUUUGCACACCCUUUCACAUAUAUCUAUAUACAUCCAUUCAUAUGCCUUCCUACCUAUCUACCUCCCGACCUAUGGAACACACAUUUAAAGAAUAAGCAAUUAUGUACAAGAAGAAAGCAUAUUAUUAAUUUUCCAUUGUUUAAAGAGAACAAUAUUGAAAAGCAAGGAUACUCCUGUCCACUAUUUAAUCACUUCCUAAAGUAAUGUGACUGAGUAUUUAGGAAUGUCCAAAGGUUAAAGUUGGAAGAACAUUAAAUCUGGUUGUAUGACAAUGGUCCUUGGGCUGACUAUGAUAUCUAAAUUACUUUAUCUAUUCAGAAUUUUCCAUUGCCCCAAAAUGUAGCUUAGGUACAUGGAAGUACCAGAUAAAAUUAUAAAAGAAUGUUCAAAUGUAUUUAUAUUUCAUCUUUUUCUAAAGUAUGUUCUUUUUAAAGUGUUCCUAUUCAAUAGGAUUACAAGGAAUCAAAAUUUAAGAAGGAAAGAUAAAAUAGAUUGAAAACAAAUAAGUCGAAAAGAAAGAGAGAAGGACAAUAUUUAGUCUGUAUGUGCAUCUGUUGUUUCUGGAUUGCAAAGUUGUCAUAGACUGUUUUGGAAGAAAAAGUUUUUAAAAAACUUAAGGUAUAUGAUAGAUUAUUUGCAGAAGACCCAUGCUCAGUAGGCAUUUGCCUAUUGACAAUUUCCUAAUAAUUGUAUUAUUCAGGGUAAUGCGGAUACAGGAAAAAAAAAGCAACUAA